rnacentral:rRNA from 1 species
UACGUAGGGUGCAAGCGUUAAUCGGAAUUACUGGGCGUAAAGCGUGCGCAGGCGGUUAUGUAAGACAGCUGUGAAAUCCCCGGGCUCAACCUGGGAACUGCAUCUGUGACUGCAUAGCUAGAGUACGGUAGAGGGGGAUGGAAUUCCGCGUGUAGCAGUGAAAUGCGUAGAUAUGCGGAGGAACACCGAUGGCGAAGGCAAUCCCCUGGACCUGUACUGACGCUCAUGCACGAAAGCGUGGGGAGCAAACAGG